rnacentral:rRNA from 1 species
AGGGUUUGAUUAUGGCUCAGGAUGAACGCUAGCUACAGGCUUAACACAUGCAAGUCGAGGGGAAACGACAUCGAAAGCUUGCUUUUGAUGGACGUCGACCGGCGCACGGGUGAGUAACGCGUAUCCAACCUGCCCACCACUUGGGGAUAACCUUGCGAAAGUAAGACUAAUACCCAAUGACAUCCCACGAAGACAUCUGAAUGGGAUUAAAGAUUUAUCGGUGAUGGAUGGGGAUGCGUCUGAUUAGCUUGUUGGCGGGGUAACGGCCCACCAAGGCAACGAUCAGUAGGGGUUCUGAGAGGAAGGUCCCCCACAUUGGAACUGAGACACGGUCCAA